UUACUUAGAAAAUCUGAUAGAUAUCUAUGGUAUAAAAAUAAGAGAGAUUAAAUAAAAUUUUGCACUGUCACGCUUGAUUUCAAAGUUUCUUAUUGACUUCAAUUUACAACUUCAAGAUGAACUCACGAAUUGCUAUCUUCUUGUUCUUCAUUAUUGCAGCGUUAGCUAUUUCAGCUACGUUUGGUGAUGUGGAAGACCAGUUAAAACAAGCUGGUUUGAACUCUGAAAUGGUACAAAAACUCAAAGGUGCCGUUCAAGAGCUGACAAAUUAAUAUGAAAACAAUAAAGAAAAUCUUCAGGAAGAUGUUCCACAAAUUGUAUAAUUAGACUAACCUUUAAUAAUUUGCAAAUAAAUUGAAUUUUGAACUUUA